CUCAUACUCUUUCCGUUCCAUAAUUCUUGUCGAAAUAUUACAUGUAUCUAAACAUUUUUUAGAAAUAGAUACAUCCAAUUUUGAUCAAAUUUGAGGAAAAAAUUAUGGGACGGAGGGAGUAAAAA
rnacentral:pre_miRNA from 1 species